GUGCUCGCUUCGGCAGCAUAUAUACUAAAAUUGGAACGAUACGGAGAAUAUUAGCAUGGCCCCUGCAUAAGGAUCACACACAAAUUAAUGAAGUGUUUGAUAAGAAA